rnacentral:misc_RNA from 1 species
CUGGAGGUUGCUUGCUUAAACAAAUACUUCAACAUCAACACACUCUGAGUCAGAUUCCGGUUCUCGGUCGUCGCUCGCAUUCGCUACUCCGGUACGCGAUUCAAGUAGCAGCAACUCCGCAGGUUUAUUAUACUCUAGCACCUUAAUAUUUCAAUUUUGUGUUUAAUUCUCUUUAGUUUCUUUAACUUAGCAUCGUUAAUCAUUUUCCUCUUCGAAACGUAAAUCUGAUUUUGGAAUCCUCCAUUUUCUCUGCUUUCGUUAUCUGUUCUUCAAAAACCUCAAAAAUCUGCAAUGGGUAUCUUUCAUUUGAAUGAUCCAUGCAUAUUUCUGAUUUUUUUUUAAUUUAAUUUUAUGUCAUAUUCCUUGGAUUUUGGAUAUAAUUCUAUUAUUUUAAAACGCAAUCUGAAUUGCUUGCUGAUUUGCUCUUUUAUGCUAGUUUGUUGAACACGGGUCAUUGAUGCUAGCUUCAUUUUGAUCUUUCUGUUGAAGAUCCUGCUAAUAAUUUAGCUUAGUUAUGAGACAAUUUGGGUAAUAAUUAAUAAAAAAAAAAA